AGAGUUUAAUUGCAUGCUAAGAGAAUGAGAUUUCAGACAAAAACUUUUUUAAAAUUAAAAAUUGAACUUUUUUUAAUUUGUGCAGAAACAAUUAUUUUAAUUCAGGACAAGAAGACCCUUAGAAUUUAUCGAAUUUAAAUAAUAUAUUUUCAUAUUCAUUAAAUUUUGGCUGGGGCGGCUGAGAAAUAUUCAAACUUUUUGUUUUAACAUGACCCAUUAUCAAUCAUUGUAUGGUAAAAAUACUCCAGGCAAUUACAACUCUAUAUUUUUUGAUAGACCAUAUUGACAAAAAAGUUUGCGACCACGAAGUUGGAUUAGGAUACUAUAUUUUUUAUCUAAUAAAAAUUUAGAAGUAUCUUCAACUUUUAAAUUCCUACAUUAUCUGAGUCAGACCGAAAAACCACACCAAUUUAAAA
rnacentral:rRNA from 1 species